rnacentral:rRNA from 1 species
UACGUAGGGGGCAAGCGUUGUCCGGAAUCAUUGGGCGUAAAGAGCGUGUAGGCGGCCCGGUAAGUCCGCUGUGAAAGUCCAGGGCUCAACCCUGGGAUGCCGGUGGAUACUGUCGGGCUCGAGUCCGGAAGAGGAGUGUGGAAUUCCUGGUGUAGCGGUGGAAUGCGCAGAUAUCAGGAGGAACACCAAUGGCGAAGGCAGCUCACUGGACCGGAACUGACGCUGAGGCGCGAAAGCGUGGGGAGCAAACAGG